GCCUGGCUGGCUCACCCAGAAGAGCGUGUGACUCUUGAUCUCAAAGUUGUGAGUUCGAGCCCCAUGUUGGGUG
rnacentral:tRNA from 1 species